UUGAGCUAAACUGGAAAUGCAGCUCAUGGGUGAGCUCCGGUGCAAAACGGCAGCUCGGAGAAGGUGGAAGCACGGACAGGCCCUGGAGAGACUUGGAAACGGGGAUCGGACUCAGCGCAGUAUCAGCUGUAUCAGCAGCAUCAGCAGCAUCAGCAGCGGUACCGGGCCCGCGAUGGCGCUGCGCUGCCUCCUGCUGCUGCUCUGCGGAGCCGCGCUCGGACCCGCCGUGCACCUCGACUUCGCCGAGCACCGCAGCCAGGCCGCCAAGAUCAAGGUCAACCCCCGCGGCAACCUCUGGGCCACAGGUCACUUCAUGGGGAAGAAGAGCGUCACGGGCUCCCCACACCUGGAGACUCCGGAGGAGCCUGCGGUGCCGAUGGUCUUUGGUCCCUCUCUACGAGCCCUGCUGGAGGACAUGAUGGAACUGCUGACCCGGGAGCUCCUGAAAAUCCUCUUGCAAGAGAGGCUAUUGGAUGAGAACCAAGGGAAAUACGACCUCACUGACCAGGAGGAGAACCCUUCACCCAUGGACAGGAGCCUCAGAGCCACGUCACACCAAGCCAAGGGAUGCUCCAGCAUCUGCAGAUGCUGAUAACUGCUAGAGGAAUCAGAGCCAUGUAGGAGACCUUCCCACCAUGCUCCCUAUCCCUUCAAGGAUAGUUCAGAUCCUGUGAGGCCUCCUCUUCCUCACUGGAGCAGUUGCUUGGCUGCAGCCCCUGGGAAGAGCAGCACCUUGAGCCUCCCGGGUUCUACAUCCUGCUGGUGACUGUGCACCUGUAGCAGCACCUGUAGUGUUCCCUUUAUGAGUCCUUCAUGGCCUCCUAGCCACCAGCUUUGCUCAAGAGUUUUUCCACUGUCCUGCAGUCAUUCAUGCAGGAAUCCUUCCCCUAACAUCUGCUUUUUGGCCCAGACUCGCUGCUGUGUUCUGGGAUGUGGGUGACCCCCAGCUCACCUUUUCAUUAGCUGGAGUAAAGCCUUGACUUAAAACUAAUUAUUAGCAAGAAAAAUAAUGACACUGUGGAUUGUGUUUGGCACUGGAGGAAACCAGAUGCCCCUCAGGCAGCAGUGAAGGACUGACAGCCUAAUGGGGCUCGUCACUUGAUGUGUCAUGGGACCACCCUCUCCAGCUCAUUGGAGGGGGAGCAGGUUCCUGGCCAUGAGGCUCCCAGGUGAGGUCCUCAUUCUCUCUCUGACCCAGCCAAAACCUGUGCAACUCCUCUCUGUCCAUCCCCAGCCCCCAUCACUCUCCUUUGGGUUGAGACAAAAAAGGGUGAGGUCACUUGUUGACUGCUGCCAUGGACAGAGCAGGCUUGCCCUGGGGAAUAUAAUUUAUUGUUAAUUCAUUUAAGUGUUUGAUUCAGGUUUUGGAAAACAACAACCUCCCCAAGCAUUUUUACACCUGGGGAAGGCACCUCCCCUCCCCUUUGCCAGGCUUACUUUCAGCACCUCUCCUCCUCCCUGCUGUCCUGCAGGUGACUCUCAGCCCCCCGUGUGGAAGCAGCAGCUGAAGGCAGGAGGGAUUCACCUGUUCCCUCAGGGAUGAGUCUUCCACAGGCACUGCCUCCCAUGGCAGUGCUCCAUUCCACUCUCAAGGAGUGUGUGUUCCACCAUGGAGCAUCUCCAUCCUCCUCCUCUGAACUGCUGCACAGACUUGGGCCCCUAGGACCUGAGUGCCCAGUACCUGCCUUGGGCACCAUCCUACCAGCACAGGAUGACUCAGGCUGGAGAAAACCUCAGCAGCUCUCUAGUCCAGCCAUCUGCCCAUGAGCUGAGUUCAGACUGGGUUACCUUGGGCUUGAAAACCUUUGUGUAUGAGGCCUGGGUCCACUGCUCAGCUGUUUCAAUGUUUUUAUUUCUCCCUCACAGACAAAGCCCUAGGCCACUAUUCCCUCCUGAAUUUAGAUUACAAACUGAGAGGGUCAGGAAAGCUUUUGAGGAAACUCAUAUUUUUUUGGCAAUUUGCUGGCUCUACCCUGUCAUUCACCUUUCUGAUGUUUACCUGCUGGCCCACAUCAUGCACAAUGUCCUGUCACUCACCUGGUCAUGUUAUUUGGAAAGCUCCAGGACCAAAGCUUUGUCACCAAGCUUAGAAAAUGAGUAAAUUCUUCAGUCUGGGUUUUUUCCCAGCUUUGAUUUGUUCCUGUUGCUCCUCUAGUUUGAGGGUAACCCUCCACACUGCUGCUGGGGCUCAAGUCUGCGCUCACAGCAGAACUUGCUGUUUCUGCAAUCAGAGAUGCAACGAGGCCCCUCCAGGUCACUGGGACGGCUUUCCCGGGGUGCUCACACCUGAGACAUGUGUCUCUGGAAACCCUGCGAGCUCGUGUGCCCACUGCUGUCCCUGGCCUUCCCCCACAGCCUGAGGCAUCACCCCAGGGAUGGGAAAAGAGCACGGAGGGAGAUGAAUGGACACAAUUGACAUUUGUGUCUUUGGCUGUGGGAUGGACUCAGAGGAGGAGCUGGCUCAGAGGAUGUCAGUGAAACUCCACUGCCACCACUUGGUGUCAUUGCUGCCCCAGGCUUAGUGAAGUGCUCACUGACAGAGAACACGCUCCUGCUGGGUUCUUCAGGCCCCAGGCUGGGGUGGUCCCUCCUCUGAGGUGCUUGGAGACCUCUCUUCCACAGGAGAUCAACAAGCCAGGCAGUGAGGAAGGGAGGGAAGGAAGCACAAAGGGGAGCAGGCUCCCAUCAGGAAGCAAAACAGAUUCCAUUUCCAUCCCCCAUGCUCCUCCAGGGAAAGCUCUUCAUGUGCUGAUAUGACCAUCAAGAUUUGGAUUUACCUGACCAAGGUAAAUCCAGCCAGAAGAGAGGCUGGGACAACCUGAGGAAGUGGGUUGGAACUACAGAGCUUGGAACUGUAUCUGAAUGAUUUCUGGGGAGUGCAGAGCAGCCUCUGGAAAAAUCAAACUGGGAAAGACCACACUGAGAGGGUGAUGGGACCUUCAAACAUUGGGAUGUGCAUUGAAGAAAGGUCAACUACUGCUCAGCCAACACCAGGGGAGCUGCCUGUUGGGCUGGCCCUGCCCAUCCAGACCUUCAGGUACAGUGGAAUGCGAUAAAGUUCCUGCAGUGCACACAAGGAAUAUGCUGGAGAAAACUAUCUGGGUUAUUCCUGCCUCAGGCAAAGGCAAAUUCCUUUUAUUUAAGGACCUGAGUGCACUUUGUGGGUGAUGCUGGAGGAUGGGAAAGGCCAAUGUUUGCCUCAAGGUGAUUUGAUCUUGGAUGAGAACAGCUAAUAAAUUCAAUUGUAUGAAGUUAGCUGGUACAUAAUGCUGUGGAUUAUCACCUCUAUGGCAUUUCUAUGCACUCCUCAUCCAAACAGGCACCUCACAGCACCGUCUGGAUUUGGGGAUCUGAACCUGACUCCCCUCUGAGCAUCACAUUAACAGAGGAUGAACUUGGAUGAAACUGGACAAGUGCAGCGAUGAUGGAACAAGCGCUGGCUUUAACAUGGAACAAACUUCUGCUGCCCUGAAAGCUGGAACCCAAUGUCACAGUGGAAAUGAACUCAAUGGGCUUUUACAGGCAGAGUCCAUAAACUGAGGAAACCCUUCUCCUGACCCUCAUUCCCAGCCAAGGAGAAAUCCCAGCCUUCUGGGAUGUGAAAUGAUUCCAAGUGCUGCUGGUCCCAAGUCAAAUCUUCCCCCAAGGGCUGAGUUCACCCUGGCCCAAAGAAAUGCCUUGCUCUGGUUUGAGAUGGACUGUGCUUCAGCAAUUACAGCAUGGACAUCAUAGGACAUGGAGCCUUGAAAUCCUGAGUGUUCUCCUGUUGUGACUAACCCUGGGAAAGAGGCACAGGUGCUUGGCUGUGUUGGCAGGAUCACAGUACCCUACCUGCCCAGUCUGGGAGGUGUCAGGGCUGUGUCUGACCCCAAGUCCUCUACGUGACCCUGCUCAGGAGAUAUUCUUACAGUGUUACAGCCAAGUGCUGCUCCUUGGAGCAAGAGACAGGGAUUAUCCCAGCUACAGACCCACAAGGUCUUCCUUUAUGGGCUUUCUUAUGGGAUGAAAACAGCUCUAGAGCAGCCAUGUCCUGGGGUGAUUUUAUAAUGAUGCUUUGUUCCCUAACUGUUUGCUUUAAGUCCAGAAAACAGCUGCUCUGACUUUAAGAUGGAUCUGGGAGGGGGGGCAGGGUGAGGCAGGGAAUUUUGGGCUCCUGUGUGAUUUUGGCUCAAUCUGUCUCUCUCCAGGGUGGAUCAGGGACGCUGCAUUGUUCUUUUUGUGGGAUUAGUUUUUAGCUAUUUUAAAGCAAGAACUUUCCCUUCCCUUCCCUUCCCUUCCCUUCCCUUCCCUUC